rnacentral:rRNA from 1 species
UGGGGAAUAUUGGGCAAUGGACGCAAGUCUGACCCAGCCAUGCCGCGUGAAGGAUGACGGUCCUCUGGAUUGUAAACUUCUUUUAUCUGGGACGAAAACCACCCUUUCUAGGGUGCUUGACAGUACCAGGUGAAUAAGCACCGGCUAACUCCGUGCCAGCAGCCGCGGUAAUACGGAGGGUGCAAGCGUUAUCCGGAUUCACUGGGUUUAAAGGGUGCGUAGGCGGGCAGGUAAGUCAGUGGUGAAAUC